UCUCAGGGGAGGGUAAGGGGCACACGUGUCUCAGGCUGUGUAGCUGGGCUAGGUGUUCUGCUGUCUGGCGUGGCUCCCAGCCCCUCACAGGAGCCAGACCCCA